rnacentral:piRNA from 1 species
AACAAUAAGGUAACGUUUCCCUCUGA